GCGGUAAUACCAGCCCCCUGAGUGGUAGGGACAAUUAUUUGGCCUAAAGCGUCCGUAGCCGGCUUGGUGAAUCUCCCGUUAAAUCCAACGACUCAAUCGUUGGCCUGCGGAAGACACUGCCAGGCUAGAGGGCGGGAGAAGUUGACGGUAGUCCCAGGGUAGGGGCGAAAUCCUAUAAUCCUGG
rnacentral:rRNA from 1 species